UCCAGACUCCUACGGGAGGCAGCAGUGGGGAAUAUUGCACAAUGGGGGAAACCCUGAUGCAGCGACGCCGCGUGAAGGAAGAAGUAUUUCGGUAUGUAAACUUCUAUCAGCAGGGAAGAAAAUGACGGUACCUGACUAAGAAGCCCCGGCUAACUACGUGCCAGCAGCCGCGGUAAUACGUAGGGGGCAAGCGUUAUCCGGAUUUACUGGGUGUAAAGGGAGCGUAGACGGCAUGGCAAGUCAGAUGUGAAAGCCCGGGGCUCAACCCCGGGACUGCAUUUGAAACUGUCAGGCUGGAGUGCAGGAGAGGUAAGUGGAAUUCCUAGUGUAGCGGUGAAAUGCGUAGAUAUUAGGAGGAACACCAGUGGCGAAGGCGGCUUACUGGACUGUAACUGACGUUGAGGCUCGAAAGCGUGGGGAGCAAACAGGAUUAGAUACCCGGGUACA
rnacentral:rRNA from 1 species